CCCCCCCGCCCCAAGAUCUAGGCACAUCGCGUCCGUGCUUGGAGCAGACUGGCCACACGUUGCUGGGUCCUGCCCUCAGGGGCCACCCUGAGCCUGCCCAGCCUGGGAGGCCCCAGCCCCAGGUGUCCCCCUGGCCCCCCGGCCCUCAAGGCUGGGCCCCGAGCCUGGCCUCACCACCUGUGGCUCCAUGCUCCCCGCGACGCCCGCCCCGCAGCGCCCUCGCCUCCAGAUGGCCUCUGGAUCUCUUCUCCGUGAAAGCGUCCAUCCAGCCUGUGUGGCUGCCACUGCAGCCUGCCACCAUCUCAUGCCAGCUCCCGAAUGUCACCCAUCGCUCAGAUGAGGGAGCUGGGCCAUUUGCUGAGACGUGCAGAGCUGUGGACAGAGCUGGGUCCAAGUUCUGGUCUUCGCGGCCCAAAGCUGCAGCCGUCACCUGGAUGGGGUCCUGCCCCAAAGGUGCUGUCACAGGGACCCCCUGGCAUCCUGCCCUCGAGCCCCAGAGACACUUCUCAUUUCAGCUCAGCCAGAAGACUGAGCUCCCCACCAGCAAAGCCGCCGGCUCUCGGGGCAGCAGGUGGCCAGUCUGGGGUCAGACUCUGUUCAAAGCUCCAGGCAAACCUCCAUCCAUCACUGGCCACACCCGCCUGGGGGAUGCACGGAGCCUGUGUGCCUGCCGUCAGCCAGCUCCAGGGUUCUCAGCCAGACGGAGUGCAGCAGGGCCCAGAUCAGCAUCUUGAGCCAAAAGAACCUGGAAUCGAGGAGAAAGUGGUUUUCUUAAAGAGCCCAUAAGGCUCUGGAACCCGAAGAGCUUUUCCCUGGAGUUUCGGCCUAGGAGAAAGGACGAGAAGCGCUGGCUGGAUUCCACCAACUCAGCCACCACCAAGGGCAAAGCCCCUUCCCUGAGAAGAAAACCUGGCAGGGCUGAGUGUCAGCAGGACGAGCCACCGAGAAUGGAGCGGUCUUCCUGCCCCCACCUGUCCUGACCAGGGUGUGAGCGGUGCUACCUGGCGGCAGCGAGGCCCACCUUCCCUGGAGCAUCCAAACCCCGGGACACAGAGGGGCCUCCUUCUUGAUGGCGGUGGAAGAGAGCCCAGGUCUGUCGAGCUUCCAGGUAAACCGGCCUGGAAAGACAUCAAACUGCAGGCGCGCAAAGUACACGCUUCCUGCGGGCGUUAAACGGGCACCUCCCAUGGGCGCAUGGCCUCUCCUUGGCACGGGGCAUGACUGCCCUGCCAUGGCAGGAGAGCGGCACCAUUGAGCAGCUGGUCCACGGUCACACGACAGGAAGGGAAGGGCCCCCCGGAGCCAAGGCCCUUUAAUUCUGGGAUCUGCGCCUUUCUUUACGCUGAUGGAACUUUGAAAGGAAUGACUCUGAACAUCUCUGGGGCCAUGAAAUAAAGGGGGGGGUCCGGUGAACCCCAGAAAAGCAGAACAAAGCAGAGGACCCUGAGGACUUAAGGUGGAGUCAGAGGCGUGGCCAUGGCGGGGAGGCUCUUUCACGUGCCUUAUGUCCAGCAAGACGUGUCAGUUCUCCAAGCAGCCAAGCCCCUGUGAGGUUCAAGCCUGGAAGCAGGGUGGGGCAGCAGGGAGUGGCUUCCAGCAAAGGGGGGGGGUCUUGGGGCGGGGGGCUCGUGCAGGACGCCAGCCCGCACUCCCCUUCCGGAGCCCACGUUACUGUGGGUGGGGGAGGUUGCUCGGGGGGGGGGCAGCUUUAUAUUUAGGCAGGGUAGGUGGCCGCCUACACUGUGAUGUCACAGGCUCUGGGGGCCUCUUCCAAACCCCAAAAUACCUUCUCCACCUGCUUCCUGGCGCCGGCACGCUCUCUGAGUUAGAAAGGAAGCUGGCUGGCUCCUUCGUGGCAGAGCUGACAGGGGUUCAAGCCAGCCCUCCAUCGAGGAGCAGGUGUGCACAGAUCCUCUGGCUGGAAAGGCACCCAGGCCUGGGCCAGGACGGCCUUGCAGCGUCCCCUGUGCUGCCUCAGCACCUCCUUGAGAACCCCUGGGUGCUAAAGGCGGUUGUGUCUUCACGUACCCCAAGCCCUGCCCAGAGCCGGGCUCUCGGCCAAAUGCCUGGGAUGUCACAGGCAAGUUGCACCUGUCUCUGUCCAGAAGAAGCAGCAGAUGAAGUGAGAGUCUCACACGUAAGCCACUGUGCAUUGUGACAUGUCCAGAGAGAGAAAUGUACCAUGGGUCACAAGGUACACAGCAGAGUGCCCCGAUUUUGUUUGGUUAGUUGGAGAAGGGCAUAUUAGCUGAGGUUUUGUGGGUAAAUAGGAGUUUUCUAGGUAGCAAGUGGGGACGAAGUCUCCAUGCGGAGGGAUGGCUGGAGAGAGGAAGGAUCCGGCCUGUUAAAGGACCUCACUUUAGGGGUCAGGGGUCCAGAGAGGGAAGGGAAAGUCGGAGAGAGGAAGCCGAGAGGCGGACAGGCGGCAGCUUCUUGCUGAAGUCCGUGCACUCACAGCAGCAUCUCACUGAUGCCUGGGCCACUGUUAGGCACUCAGCUCGGGCUCCCCCUGCCCAGGCUCACAUCUCCAGGGAACGAUGAGGUGAGUCGUGUGCAUAUUAACGUUUGGGAUGUCCUGCCCCAUGGUUGGAUGGAGGACGCGGCUUUGCCCCAGCUCGUGGGCCAGUGUGCUGAGCAGUCAUGUGCUCGAGAUUUAGAAAGUGGGUUUUUUUUUCUUUCCUUCUGAAAAUAAAUAGCUUCAGAUCA
rnacentral:lncRNA from 1 species